UUCUGCCAGUUGUGUUUUUAAGACAUACAUAGUUUCCCCCCAUUGACAAAUUGUGCGGAAAAUGUGAAAAUGAAUGAAUGAAUAUUCAUGAAUUUUGCAUUUUUGAUAGCAGUGCAUAUGAUAUUGCAUCUAACCAGUGUUGCCAGCUGUUGAGCUCCGAAAUAAGUAUUAUGGUUAAAAUACGGCAAAAAUAGUCAAAAAUGGACAAACCUACGAAAAGUAAAGAAAAUUGUAUUAGUACACACAGUGAAAGUGCAAAAUUUAUGGAUUUAUUUCCUCUAAGUAUUUCUUCCAGCAAUUUCCUCUGAGUUUUUCUUUCAAGUAAUUCCUCUGUUUCUUUUGUUCUAUAGUUUUUUAAGGACGACGACUUCUGCAUAGUCUGCCGGAAUGUUUGGCUAUUUCAUACU